rnacentral:rRNA from 1 species
CCUGGCUCAGGACGAACGCUGGCGGCGUGCUUAACACAUGCAAGUCGAACGAUGAAGCCCUUCGGGGUGGAUUAGUGGCGAACGGGUGAGUAACACGUGGGCAAUCUGCCCUUCACUCUGGGACAAGCCCUGGAAACGGGGUCUAAUACCGGAUACGACCNGNNANGGCAUGUUNGNGGGUGGAAAGCUCCGGCGGUGAAGGAUGAGCCCGCGGCCUAUCAGCUUGUUGGUGGGGUAAUGGCCUACCAAGGCGACGACGGGUAGCCGGCCUGAGAGGGCGACCGGCCACACUGGGACUGAGACACGGCCCAGACUCCUACGGGAGGCAGCAGUGGGGAAUAUUGCACAAUGGGCGAAAGCCUGAUGCAGCGACGCCGCGUGAGGGAUGACGGCCUUCGGGUUGUAAACCUCUUUCAGCAGGGAAGAAGCGAAAGUGACGGUACCUGCAGAAGAAGCGCCGGCUAACUACGUGCCAGCAGCCGCGGUAAUACGUAGGGCGCAAGCGUUGUCCGGAAUUAUUGGGCGUAAAGAGCUCGUAGGCGGCUUGUCACGUCGGAUGUGAAAGCCCGGGGCUUAACCCCGGGUCUGCAUUCGAUACGGGCUAGCUAGAGUGUGGUAGGGGAGAUCGGAAUUCCUGGUGUAGCGGUGAAAUGCGCAGAUAUCAGGAGGAACACCGGUGGCGAAGGCGGAUCUCUGGGCCAUUACUGACGCUGAGGAGCGAAAGCGUGGG